UUUCAAAACUUAGGAUCAAUGGGAGGAGACAGAAGGAGUCUUGUGAGGAUUUUUAAAAUAUGCCAGAGCUGGCUGGGUACAGUGGCUCACACCUGUAACCUGAGGACUUUGAGGCCGAGGUGGGCAGAUCACCUAAGCUCAGGAGUUCGAGACCAGCCUGGGAAACAUGGCGAAACCCCGUCUCUACUAAAGCUAUAAAAAGUUAGCUGGGCGUGGUGGUGCAUGCUGUAGUCCCAGCUACUCAGGAGGCUGAGGCACGAGAAUCGCUUGAACCUGGGAGAUGGAGGUUGAAGUGAGCUGAGAUCGCACCAUUGCACUCCAGCCUGGAAAAAGAAAAAAAAAAAAAAGCCAGGGCUCCUAAUGUACUCAUUUAAACAUCACUUGUGUCCACUCUGGAUUUGGAAUUGUGUUGGACAUGGGAUACACAAAGUUUCAAUUGGCCUCUUGGUGCCAAAGCACCAUGGCGUGUUACACCUCUCAGAGGGGGCACACUGCCCCUUCUUCCCAACCUACGAGCUGAAAUGGCCAGCACUGCGCCUUCCAGAACCCAGCUUAGAUGCACAGUUGCCAUGCAGGUAGGAAGAAUGAUUCGUUCGCCACCAAAAGCCCAGUUUCUCCAACAGGUAAGUC
rnacentral:sRNA from 1 species